rnacentral:rRNA from 1 species
UAGGGAAUCUUCGGCAAUGGACGAAAGUCUGACCGAGCAACGCCGCGUGAGUGAAGAAGGUCUUCGGAUUGUAAAGCACUUUCGACGGGGACGAUGAUGACGGUACCCGUAGAAGAAGCCCCGGCUAACUUCGUGCCA